rnacentral:lncRNA from 1 species
GAAUACAAAUCAAUAAAGAGAGCCUAAUAACUAUACAGAACAUUUGGUUGUGACACCCAGCUGAACAAUUUGGCCCACCUUAGGCUUAAACAAAUGAAGGAGUCAUGCCAUGGCCGUACAAUCAAAAUUGGGUAGCGUGUGAUGCCUUUGACAAAAAGAGAAUGUGUUCAAAAUUUAUAAUUUACAAGCAAUGCUAAUUUUCUCAGAAAAGAAGAGGGAAAAUAAUUGAGAGAGAGAGAGAGAGGGAAAAAAGAAAGAGAUGAAAAUGACAAAAAGGGAGCAAAGGGAGCAAAGCAUGGAAGAUGCAAAGUGGGUGCUAUGCAUGUAUGAUCACUAACAUGCACACAUGGAAGCCAAGCCAACACCCACUAUGGAACAAAUCAUUUUUCAUCAUUACAACACAACACACUCUUUUUGUCAUUUGGUCUUUUGCCCAAAUCCCCACCCUUCAUCAACUCUCAUCAUACCCGUUCAUCUCAUCCAUGUUUUGGAUCAUUGAUUUAAUUGGAUCAAAUCAACCUAAAGGCACCACAUGGAUUUAUCUAAUUGGUCAUUCUUCAAAUUAUAUACCAUUAAUUCCUAAACCCCACCUAACUUAGGGUUUUUAUCUCAUCAUUUUGGUUGUGGUUGGGAGGUGCCACUAUAAAUAUUUUGGCCCUAAUGGCCAUCUACAUGAUCCAUCUUCCAUCAGUAAACUUCUUCCCCAGUUUUCUGUGUGUUCCCUUCAUCUUCUAUGGGGAAAAAAAACUAAUAAUUAAUACUUUGUCGAAGACUUAAACACUACUCAAAAAGAUACACACACCUCAGCCUUCUUUUCUCUUUAUUUGAAGUAUAAAUUACAUUUCUGCAUUGUCAAAGUAGGAAUACAGAUCUGCAACUUCUAUUAUUUGUGAAAUUUUUAACAUAUUUCCCUCCCUGCACCCCCAAAAAAAAUAUUAAUAACACACAUUCUACUCUUAAAACCCAUUAUUUAAGACAUAAAGUCUGAUUAAGAUACCUAAUGCAUGUGCCAAGGACAGGCCAUGAAAGCAUGGAGGAGAUAUUGUGGAAGCCACUUAACAUGCUAAUUAAAAAUAAUCAAAUUUGUUUAAUAGUAUAAUUAUGUUUCAUUUGAUGAAGGUUUGCUACCGUUAAGGAUUCCUAUUUUGGAAAAAGAAAGACUUUUAUGUGAUGCAGGGAUACUUUCUAGUCAGAUUCCCACUUCCCAAACAGGGACUUUUAAUAAACAAAUUAAAAUUGUAGUACUUGGAAUAAAUUGGCAUCUUAAAUCAAAAGCUUAUCUAGAAGGAGGUGGGAAAUUUCCACAAAGUCUCAAAUAAAUACAAGGACAACAAUGCAUAAACAUAUACAAGUAAGGGGAUGAGCUCAAAAUGGUCACCAAUCAAAAUUGCAAAUGGUGACAAACCAACUGAAAUGAGUUGGUAAUAAUAAUGUGGAUCCUUUUGUCAUACAAAAUCUUUGCUUUUUGCAUUAUUGAAUGGAGAGUGGUAGUGUGGUAGAGGGUGGCAAUUCUAAUAUCAUAAUAAGAAUAAAAUCUUUGUGUUAUAUAUAUUUUUUAAAAUUUAAAUCCCCUUUUGAGUUAUCCAUGGUGGGCUUCUUUAGAGGCAGCUUAAAACAAUGUCAUUGGUUUGCUAUACCUGGAAUAUUCUCUUGCUUGCAUUUUCAACUUUCAAAGGAUCAAAAUUCCCCACUAGAGGCAAGUUCAAAUAUAACUGUAAACUGUGUGUUAGAAUGCUAAUAUACAAGGUGCCUUUUUCUUAUAAGCCGGUUUUGUAAUGACAGAUUUUACUGGAAGGUUAGUAUGGACUAAAUUCUUGUUAUUUUCAUUGUCGGUUGUGUGAAGUCACCUUGAGGCUUCUAAUAGUCGAUGUGUUUUGUCAACGAUUUUUUAGAGGAGUCAAAGAAACAAAUUAUUUGCCAAAGAAAUAACAAAUUCAAAACAAAUGGCUAUAGUUUGCUUCUCCCCAAAAACGGGUGGAACAUGGAUUUGUUUUGGACCAGAAAUAGUAGUACCUUCUUGAAGACUUGAAGUUGCUAUAUAUGCAGAUAAGAUUUCUCUUUUUCCAUCCUUCUUCAACAAAAUAUUCAAAAGCUU